UACGUAGGGUGCAAGCGUUUGUCCGGAAUUAUUGGGCGUAAAGAGCUCGUAGGCGGUUUGUUGCGUCGGCUGUGAAAUCCCGAGGCUCAACCUCGGGUCUGCAGUCGAUACGAGCAAACUAGAGUGUUGCAGGGGAGACUGGAAUUCCUGGUGUAGCGGUGAAAUGCGUAGAUAUCUGGAGGAACACCGGUGGCGAAGGCGGCAUCCUGGACCGAGAUUGACGGCUGAGGCGCGAAAAGCCAGGGGAGCAAACGGG
rnacentral:rRNA from 1 species